CAUAACUCAGAUUUCUGCGGAGGGCCACAGUCCAUACAGAGCAACCUGGGGAUCUGCUGCUGCUGCUUGGGAUCUGACAAGGCCGACACAGCCGAGGGGGCUUUGCCCCAUCCCUCCAGGGCAUCCCUCCCUAGCAGGAUGCGGCCCCCYGAAGGGGCACUGAAGCGAGCCGGGCCCUCGGCCCCACGUCACUGCCCAGACUUACGACUCCAGAACUGCAUCACUGAGAGCUUCUGGCAYGACCUUCCCCUCCUUGCCGGACAUCCUGCUGCCCACGUGCUGCCGCAACGGGGCCGGGCUGCUCGCAGGAGCGUCCGCCACGUCCCCGGCCGCAUCCAGCUCCAUGUCGCUGGUGCUCGGCGUCGGGCAGCCUCGGCUCGUGCCGCUCCCAAGGGAGACCUCCAGGCUGAUCUCCUGCAGCUCCCCCAGCGCCUCCUCCACGCUCUGCCCCACGGCACCUUCCCGGGGCUCACAGCACGGGUGCCGCUGGCCUGCGAGCUCCCCGCUGCCAGGCAGGACCCGCUCCGGCACGGCCACAGCGGGAGCCCCGGGGCUGUUGUGGCCUUGGCCCCACAGGCUACCCAGCUCUUUCCCCCGUGCUGCGGGCUCCCGUGCCCUCCGUGUGCUUCGCCGGAGCCCAAAGAGUCUCCCGAGGAGCUGGAGCAGGGAGGGCCGGCUGGGAGCCGGGGCGGCCCUCGGGGCAUCCAUCCGCRCCAGCGCUGGGAGCGGGGCUGCAGGGACGGUCGGCGGCUCAACGGCUCGGAACCGGAUUCGAAUCGAACGGCCCCAAACCRCUUGGAACCCGGAGCCGGGGGCCGAACGCGCACAGCCCGGGGCCCCAGGGGGGAUGCAGGGCACGCGCAGCCCGGGGCCGGGGGGAAAGAGGGGCCCCGAAAGCCGAAGCCUCCCUCUGCCCGCCGUGACUCAUUCCUGCGGCAUCGCCACUCUCCACCACGGCUCAGCCUGACCCUCAACUUCUGUAACGGCGAGAGAGGGUGGGAGGAAGGGGGGAGGCUCGUGAAAAUGCGGGAGAACCCCACAAGCAAUGCACAAUUAUGGCCAAAGAGAGAAAGCUAAAAUAUUACUUCUUCUGCAGGCAGCAGUGGAGCAAACGGCUUUUAAAAUCGGCGUCUGUGUUUGCCGUUGCAAUGCGAUACAUACACGACAGCAACGGCAGAAACAGCAACGGCAGCAAACUCAGUGACCUGUUUCGGAGGGACUCCCUGCCACCCCUGUCACCCGGCCAUUACGGCACAUUUUCAAGGAGUGUUUUCCUAGGACAGCAAUCUCAGUUAAGGGCAUGAUUUUUCUGCAGUGUUCCUGUGCUUGACCAAGCCAUGUUACAGCUGCGGUAACACCGG
rnacentral:lncRNA from 1 species